UCCCUCUUAGCUCAGUUGGUAGAGCGCGUCACUAGUAUAAGCUCCGAGAAGUCCCGUUUAAUGACGAGGUUAGUCGUUCAAAUCGGCUAGCGGGAA